rnacentral:rRNA from 1 species
AGUGAACGCUGGCGGUAGGCCUAACACAUGCAAGUCGAACGGCAGCACAGUAAGAGCUUGCUCUUACGGGUGGCGAGUGGCGGACGGGUGAGGAAUACAUCGGAAUCUACUUUUUCGUGGGGGAUAACGUAGGGAAACUUACGCUAAUACCGCAUACGACCUACGGGUGAAAGCAGGGGAUCUUCGGACCUUGCGCGAUUGAAUGAGCCGAUGUCGGAUUAGCUAGUUGGCGGGGUAAAGGCCCACCAAGGCGACGAUCCGUAGCUGGUCUGAGAGGAUGAUCAGCCACACUGGAACUGAGACACGGUCCACACUCCUACGGGAGGCAGCAGUGGGGAAUAUUGGACAAUGGGCGCAAGCCUGAUCCAGCCAUACCGCGUGGGUGAAGAAGGCCUUCGGGUUGUAAAGCCCUUUUGCUGGGAAAGAAAAGCAGCAGGUUAAUACCCCGCUGUUCUGACGGUACCCAAAGAAUAAGCACCGGCUAACUUCGUG